AGACCAGCCUCUUCAUCUUCCUCAUUCCCCAUUGAAGUAACCCAACUGUUUUGACCUCUUUCCGCACACUUUUCGUAACGUUGGCAUCACACCUCUUAAAGAGUCAUGAAGCCCCUUAAUUUUCUGUAGCCAUCCAACUGUUGUGAUUCCCCUCAGCCUUUCAUCUUAUAUAUACCUUUAUCCCGAUCAAAGUUUUCAAUUACUCAAUUCUUCAACAUGUCUCUAUUGGCUUGGGGGAAGGCGGAGCUGCGUUUCCGGUAAAUCGAUGUUUGGGAAGCAAGGAACACAACCGAAGUGGAAAUUUUGAUUGGGCUAUGACUGCUUCUGAUCUAUGAGCAGACAAUGUACUUUCAUACAUGGGUUCAUCUCACCUAACUGUUGUGUAGCUGUUGAUGAUGAAGGAUGAGCAUACGCGUAGGGUGGGAAUGAACAUGGUGUCGCAAGAGUACUGUCUCUUCCUCAAGGGUUGCUGCAGGUGGUGCUCACUCAGUAGUUUUCACACGCAAAGGUUAUGUGUGGACUUGGGGUCAUUCGUGGCCUCCCGGUGACAUGUAUAGAGACAAAUUAAAACUCACACAAAGCCAUUUGUGCAUUAUUUGGCUACUACUUGAAUGUUCUGUUUUGGUUUCCUCUAUUUAGAAAACAAAUAUUUGUUCGAGUGUUCAAGGUUUUGAAAACUUCUGUUUUAUUGCUGUUGGAGCGUUUCAUUAUCUGGCUCUUGAAAAAGAUGGGAGACUAUUGGAACAACCCCUCAUCAUGUCCCAGUCCAAGGCCUCGACGAUCUCAAUUAGGUUUGUUUCUUUCUCUUCCUUUUAUUGGUUCAUUUUCUACUUAUCAAAACCUUCAGAUGCUUGAUCUACAACUUUUUCCCUCUCUAUCUCUAUCUCUCUUUAGACGUAUUUUUAGGUUGAUGUUGAUGCAUGUGGAUGAUAGAUAUUAGCGCUCAUGUUCUCUCAAACGUGUUCUUAAUGUUUUUUUACUCAUUCUCACCAAUCACCAUGUGCUAGAUCCCCAUUUUCAUCAAGAAUAAUUGUUUGUUUGGUCUUCUAAUUUUAAGUCGGGUUGGGUGACAAUGACAAGAGCAGCAAAAUAGCUCCACAGAAAGUUGAUAUUCUAGCUGACAAAGAUAUCGCUUAAAAUCAAACUUUACUGAUCUUGAGAUGUCUAAAAGAGGACAUCAUUCAUGUAAAGAAGUAUUAAACUUUAAUGAUCAAUAACCUUAUUACAAAAAAAUUUCUUGUGGAGGAACACAUUUUGUUGCUUUGACAACAGAUGGCAGAAUUUUUUUGGUUAGUCCCUUGAAACCCAAAAAACUAACUUUUAGAUUUACUUCAAAAGAAAAGAGUCAUUUCUAAUGAUUAUGAUUUUGAUCAGUUUGGUAGAGGAGAUCAUGGAAGACUUGGUUAUGGAAGGACAAAUGUUUACCAUUUUGAUCAGCUUUUGUGAUUAUGUAUGUCUGAUUAAUGUGUUUUUUUUUCCUUCUAGAUUUAAUGACGUGAUCAAAAAAAGGUGAUUCGAAUUCUUUAUCUCCCAAAAAGUGGAGGAAAAAUGGGUAACUCAUCAUUUUAAAUUUAGUAUCAAAGGAGGCUAAUGUUAUUGCUAUGAACCUUAACAAGAAAAGUGAAGCACUUUCUGUCUUGGGUUAUUGGAAUACGAGAAUAAAGUAAGCUUUUUUGCACCAGUUUACAUUGUAAAGCGAAUGUUUACCGUACCUUACUCCAAAACUCAGGUCUCUACACUUCUCUUGAACAUAAACUAUAGAUAACUGCAUCAAUAUAGUGAAUCUUCCUUGCUUACAAUAAACGUAACUUUCCUUCCAGUGUGAAUUUUUUUUCCUGUAUAUGAAAUAUAACUUAUCAUUUCCGAAUAGUUGAAGUUUUUUUCAAUUUUGCUUAGCUAGCUUUCAUGUGACCUUUGUUGGUUUUCUUUGCAGGAAGUGCACGACUUCUGCUAUUCAUGUGAGGAUGUUUGUCACGCAUAUAGAAAGAAACGUUGGGGAGUUACGAAUCCAGAUUUGAUUGACUAAGUGAGGUGCUGAUACAGUUUUUUUGCCUUAAUGGAUUAAACGUUGGGGUGUUAUAAUUCUGUACACCAAUCAAUUUUAAAAAUAUAUAGGCUGUCUUCAUAUUUAUAAUGCAUUACUGUUAAAAAUCUUAUGUAAUUCCAAUUUAACUUAACACCCCUAGCUGAUCACUGAGCUACCGGUUACCAUCCUCACUUGAUUGCUCAUGAUCAAGGUAACCUUCAUCUCAUUGAGUCUUCUAUUGUAUCCAUCCGAGGCAUCUGUUGACAUUGUGCCAUCUCUAAAAUGAAUCAGCACCCUAACAAAAACAUGCAAUAACCAUCUCCCCUUUUCUGACUGUGGUUCUAAUAUUUCCAUGGUCAUGCAAUCUUCUUGAAAUAUGUGGACAAGUCUUUGAUUGAUACGACAUAUUGAACAUGUGCAUGAAUUAUCACUAUCUAAGUCUGAGAGUGGAGGUGACAAACACCGCGAUGGAGUCGUUGGAAAAAAUGCGAGAGGGAAGUAAAGUAACACUGCAGCUGGGGGACAUAUUACAAUACUGUUGAUUUCUUCAUGAAGCUUCUCCAGCUCUGAGAAUGCCUGGUGGUACCAGCACCGAAAAGAUCUUUAGGUUGUGUAAUUUUACGAGGUGAUCUACCCUCCAAGACAUCAUACCGGGUAGUUUUAUUAAAACAUCACAGUUUUAUCUGUUGCCUUUUGUUUGUGUUUGUUUUUAGCCUUUACCUUAUAUGCAUGAGCUCUUGACAGAUGACUAUAUUUGUUUAGUUAUGUAAAGAUUUUACUCUUUUGGUGUUAUUAAAUCCUUUAAUUAUUUACCAAACGCUUCUUUAUUCGAACUGAAAUGAACUAAAAGGUCGUCUACUCAGUCCCUCAUGGAAGCUAUGUACAAAGCAUCAAACCAUUUAAUUAGAAUGAAAACAGCGACAACUCUAAUGGUUCCGGAAAAAGUGUCUGAUAUAAACACAGAUUCCAUUCUACAAAGAAGCUAUAUUAAAUUGAGGACUGCUUUGAGGAAUUCAAGUAACAAAAACAUAGGUGAUCUUUCAAAAUGAUGAAAGCUUUGAGAGCUAUUGCCUUCACUAAAUCAUUAUGAAGCCAUUUUUUUAUCCAGGAAGAUCAUGUCUUGAGAAGUAAGGAAGCUUCCAUGUUCACAUUCAACAUUUAACUUUAUUCUAAAUGAAACAAAAAAAUCCAUUCACAAUACGACCCCUACAAAAAGGAUAAAAUCUAAUCAAAAGAUAAAAUAUUUAAAUAUUUUAAAAAACUGAAAAAUAAUAAUCCAAUUAUAUACAAAAAUUAUAUUCAUCUCAUUCAUGAGUAAUACACUUAGGUUUAGUAUAAAAAUUAAUUAAAAAUUAUUCAGUAUAAUUUAAAUUUAUUUAUGAAUAAUAUGUCCACAAGAUUUCAAAAUAUUUUAAAUUGUUUGGCCUUCAGUAGAUCUAUUGAAAAUUGUAAGUAUAUCAAAAUACAAUAUUAAUGGUUAAAUGGUACUCCCUCUGUUCCUAAAUAUAAGAUGUUUAGGAAAAAACACACAUAUUAAGAAAAUUAUUUUUUUUUAUCUAGAAAGUAUCAUUAAACCUAUAAAAUAAUUGUAUUCAACCAAUUACAAAAUAGAUUAAUAAAUAUGAUUGGUUACAUAGUUUUUAAUAAAGUAAAAGUUACCUAGAAAAUUGAAAACAUCUUAUAUAUUGGAACAUCAAUUUUUUUUAAAAAACAUCCUAUGUUUAAGAACAGGGAAAGUAUAUAAUUAGGCUAUAUAUAUCAAGCUAAGCUUAACCAUUUCAAUAGAAAACCAAACUUUAGUGUUCUACACCCAAACAAAAUAUUGAUCAGAUUAAAUCAAAAUUUAGUUUUUAAUCUGUUUUAAUCAAUCAAAAAUAGUUCAGAAGCAAAAUUUUAAAAAUAUAUCCAAAACAUAUAUAAAAUAAUAAAUAAUAAUCAUUAAAUCUAUGUAAUAAAAUGUAUAUUAGGAUAUCUUAUAAAGUUUUUAAGCCAUCACCACUUAGAGCUAUAUAUAUAUAGAAAAUCUAAGGCAAACUUCAAAAAAACCAUUUAUGUCAAUAUAUCAAUAAAAAAAUUAUAGAUAACAUGUGUUAAAAAAAUCUAUAGAUGACGAUUUAACAUGCUAGAUUAGCCAAAGACAAUGUGAUUUAAGUAUUUGGUUAAGGAAAUUUUUGAAAAAAAAUAUUGUUAGAGAUACAUUUAUAAUCAAAGAUAGAAUACAUUCAGAUAUAUCACAAUCAAACAUAUAACUUUAACAAAAAAUUAAAAAAUAUUAAAAUACUACACCUAUAAUCUCGUGCAAAUGUAAAAAUGAGAACAUAUUUCUUUUAACAAUUAAUAACUGAAAUGAAUAUUGAAAAUAAAAUAGUACAAUGUCAUAAAAUAUAGUUGAUUUCAAAUAAAAAAUUCUAAGACGUAAAAAUUAUAAAAAGGUCAAAUUAUAUAUGAUUUAAUUAGAAACCAAAUUAUAUUUAUUCUAUUCAAUUUAGAAUAAUUUCAAAUAUAAUUUCCAGUCUCUGAAUCACGUCCACAUACACGUAAGACAUAUAAUAAUCAUGUUUCUAUAAUCAUUAUAUAAGUCGGCUCUUUUUUUGUUGGUUUUGGGUUCGAAUAAGUCAAUAACACACGAGUGAAUAUCCCUAUACCAAAGCCUGACAAUGGUUACUCAAUUAGAAAAUGAGUAUGUAAUGAUAAAGUUUGAGAACUGAAUCUAAGAUAUUUGAUUUUAUUUACGUGCAUAUUUGUUUUGGUGAUAUAAAUGUGGAUUUAUGUAGAAAAAUGUUUAGAAUAAUUCUUGGGAAAAUUACCAAAUGUAACUCACAGCUUGAAUUAUAAUGCAAAAGUAAACUCAAACUUGAAUCAAAUGCAAAAGUAACUUAAAAGAC